CGGUUUAACGAAUAUUUUAAUUCUUCUUCGUUUGACAAGGAAUCAAUGAGUUGAGCAGCAGAGCUUAACCGAAUAGCUUUAUCAUUCGAUGUAAGCUUAGUGAACAACUCUAAUUGUGUUUUUGUAGCCAUGUUUGGUACUACUACUCACAAUCGAGGUUGUAGGGGAGUCUAAGUCAAACUUCGGUAGUAAGAGAAAAAAAAACAGAAAACGCUACGUAUGCAAAUCAAAAGAUGAAAAAGCUUUUCAUUUUCUAAAUAGAAGAAUAAGUAACAAUUGGUAAAGAAAUUGAUAAAUCAUGGUUUAGCAGUGAUAGAAAUUUCAAGUUUUCGAAAGGAAGCUACAGACUCUCAUCAAUGCGAGUGUAACAAUUUGCACUUUACUUUUGUUUAAAAUAAGUUUUAUCUCUUUUAAACUAAUCAUACAGUCAUCAACAUGCAUUUCAUUAUGUGAGAAAUAAAAUCAAUCCAUUGAAAAGACCAAAUCCUCGAAAAUUUUUUCUUAGUAUAAAUAUCAAACAAGUUCGGCUUUUUCAUACGAAGACUAGUGAUAAGUAGAUGGGAACGUUCUCAAAAAAAGUCCCAAGAGUAUCUUAAAAGGUUACAAACAUCUUCAAUUUGUUUCCAAGUUUCUACGAAUUAUGGGAAUAUUUUAUGAUAAAAGUCUUUACAGAAUUGAUUUUGAAGGAUGUGAAAUAAAUUUUGCUUUCAAGCACUAGUAAUUUGGUACAUAUCAUAUCCCUAAAAGUUUGUUUCUCUAAUGAUUACGAUAUAUGCAUCAUCUUUAACUGCAUCGAGUAUACAUUAUCUUUUUUUGCCUGCUGUAAACCUCUCAACUCAUAAACUGAAGCACAUAAACAGCCGAUAAAAUCGGCGCUUGUAGACAAUACUAAGAGAUUUCAUUAUACACUUAUAUCACAUUAAAAAACGUGAGUCUGUGAACUUUGUAAUUUGUAAGAAAUGAUAAUAAAACAUUCCGGUCUCAAGGUGCAACUUCAU